AUUGAACGCUGGCGGGAUGCUAACACAUGCAAGUCGAACGAGUGGCGGACGGGUGAGUAAUAUCUCGGAACGUGCCCGGUGGCGGGGGAUAACUACUGGAAACGGUGCUAUACCGCAUACUAUUGGAUCUGCCGAUAUGGGAUUAGCUAGUUGGUGGGGUAAAGGCUCACCAAGGCAACGAUCCCUAGCUGGUUUGAGAGGAUGACCAGCCACACUGGGACUGAGAAACGGCCCAGACUCCUACGGGAGGCAGCAGUGGGGAAUAUUGGACAAUGGGGGAAAGCCUGAUGCAGCCAUCCCGCGUGUAUGAUGAAGGCUUCGGGUUGUAAAGUACUUUUGGCAGAGAAGCGGUAUCUGCAGAAUAAGCACCGGCUAACUACGUGCCAGCAGCCGCGGUAAUAC
rnacentral:rRNA from 1 species